ACCAUGUUCUGGCUUUCCUGCAGGGCUGUGGUGAGUUUGGUGACCUCCUGACACAAGAUGGCGCCGUUUCCCUCCCAGUCCUUCAGCAGGGCUGCCAGCUCAGCAGAACGCUGCCCACUCACAGAGUCGGAGGCAGCCUGGUGGAAAAUGACAGGCGUCUGAAGUCAAACCUCAGCCGAGGACAGAAGAGAGACGGAGGACUGUAGGACUCAUUGAGUCAUACAGAGAACUUGAAAGCUUUGAAGAUCUCCAGCUGCUCUUUGAAGGUGUGGAUCAGAGCCUCCUUCUCCUGCAGGGCAGCAGCGAGGGCUUCGUCCUUCUGUCUACACACCUCCCUCUCUUUCUCCACCCCCUUCAGAAGGUGCUCCUUCUCCCCCAGAGCCACUCGCAGGUCCUGGGAGAAAGGAUGAAAUGCUGCAUCUAAACCAGGCGUCAGAGCCAGAGGAAUUAACUGAGGUGCUACUGGUUGAACUUCCUGCAACGCUGAGGGGUGAAGUCAUUCCUACGAGAGCGAUAACGACAAAACAUCAGCUGUGAAAGAGGAGAAUGGACCAACGCAGCACUGGAGGGGGCGGCCAGCAACGUGACCUAGAUAGCUACACACGCUGUUAGAGUAUAAGAAGACUGGGCCAGGUACAGUUAGCGGUCUGAUUCCAUCCGAACUGACCGAACACUUGUUGUUGGUUAGGGACAGAGGAUUCAGGCCCAGAGCUCUGUAUCGCACAUUCAAUUUUGAUGUAAUAAAUGCUUUCGAUUUUAAGAA